rnacentral:rRNA from 1 species
AAAUUGAAGAGUUUGAUCAUGGCUCAGAUUGAACGCUGGCGGCAGGCCUAACACAUGCAAGUCGAACGGUAACAGGAAGAAGCUUGCUUCUUUGCUGACGAGUGGCGGACGGG